UGUAAUGCCGGAGUAUUGUUCUCUUGCCACGAUAGAUGCAGAGUUUGUCAACGGCACAUGGACAUACAAAAGCAUAGGGAAGAGUACAGGACCAGAAUGAACUUCUUGGACCUUGUUUGCCGGCGGAGCGGUAAGCGGCAGGUAUCGGCUGUGAGUGAGAAGCUACGUGGGUCAAGGCCGUGGUCACGAGUUUUCUUUUUCCCUCAUCGUCAUCCAUCCAUCCAUAACCUCCCUACUCCCCUUCCAUCACCUACACACACACGCUAACUGAGGACGGACAGUGUGAGUAACCACGUGCAGUUAUUUCUUUUUAUUUUACUUAAAUAAAAAGUGAAGCAGUCACCAAACCUGCGCAUCGAA